rnacentral:rRNA from 1 species
AUGGCGCCUGCCUGCCACCUCGCGACGGCGACGAUGGCCGCCGUCGUCGCGUUCCUCCUGCUCGCCGGCGGCCGGGGCGCCGAGGCGGAGGCGGACACGAUAGGCUGCCGCGUCGCGCGGUUCGCGUUCGGCGCCUGCACCGGCUACGUCGCCGGCCGCGAGGGCGCCGAGGUCACUCCCCGCUGCUGCAAGGGGCUCGGCAUCAUCAAGGACCUGGCGACCACCGCGGAGCAGCGGCGGGAGCUCUGCGAGUGCGUGCACUUGGUCAUGAUCGCCGGCGGCCGGGUGAUCCCCCGCCGCGGCCAGCUCCUCCGCACCGCGUGCGGCUUCAGCGUCGACUUCCUCCCGACCAACUUCUACUUCAACUGCUCCCGCCUCCCGGUACGUCCGUCGUCUGCUGUAACAAGGAGUCAACUCUGUUCUUGA